UCCUUAUUUAUUUUGUCAUUUAAUUUAAUUUAAAGUCAUUUUCAUUAAAUAAAACUAGCAUUUGCCUACACACUUUGUGUGUAUGAACACAUUUUUUUGGAAAAUGAGGAGAGAGGGAGAGAAAGAGAAAGAGAACGUGGGGGAGUGAAAGGUUUUUGUUUUUGGUUUUUUGUUUUUAAUUUUUAUAUUUAUUUUAAAUAUUAGAGAUAUUUUAACAUCACAUGUAGGUGAGGCUUCAAUAAAAACAGUAAAAUUUGGACAUGUGAAAUUACAUUAUUGCCCAUCAUUUUUUUUGUGUGAUAGAAGACUAAGUUGUCUUUUCACCAUCUUUUGGUUGACAAAGAGAGUUUCAUUAAUUAAUAGAGAUUAUUAUGAUGUUUUUGGUUAAGAAAAAGUUUGGAGAAGUCAUUAUUAUUAAAGUUCUCUUUUACUUAUGGGGAUCGCCUAAGUCAUUUCUCUUCAUUGCAGUAGUUUUCUCUCAUUGUAGGGCCCACCAAUGUUAGGAGCAAAAAUUGAUGCAAAUUCACAUCUAUUUGUACAUUGGACGUCAUUUUUAUACUUCAUUUUUAGCUUUUCAUACUCUUCUUUAUUUUUGCCCAUCAGAUUGAAUAAAUCAAACGGAAUCGACAGUCAUGAUUAAACAUGGGUGUAUAAGAGGUUAAAAGGUGUGAAAAUUACUUCCCUUUGAAUUUUGUCGACCACUUGCUGGUUUGACAACCCAAAUACAACUCUCAUUGGAGCUGUUAUGAUCAAGCGAGACGUAAAUCUGCCUAUACAUCUCCAUUUACAUUCACCAUUGGAGAAGCUCUCAAUUGAAUAUCAUGUGUUUGGUCAAAGAAAUAAACUUGAAACUUAGGGUUCGUUUCGAAAUUGUUUUAUUAAAAAAAAGAAAAACACUUAGAAAGGUUGAAAGUCUUCUAUUUGAAGCACAUCAAAAUUUAAGUGUAUUUUUUAAUCGUUUUAACUUUUUAUGCCAAACAAAGUUGACAAUUAUAAUGAAGGAUUUUAUCUUAUGUCUACAUGUUACGGUUAUGUAGUACCUUAUUGAACCCAUCUAAAAUGACAAUACAUCGCGACUAAAAGAAAAUCUUAAGAAAUUAAUUUUAUUUAAAUAGUUACCAUUUUUAAAUUUGGAACAAAUGAAAGCUCUACGAUACAUGACAAGUUGACAACAACGUAUAUCUUGAGAAUAUAAUACGCAAACGUAUUUUGAAGAUACAUUAAGCCCCCUUUACUUGAGAAGACACAUGUUAAAUUAAAGUUAUAAAUUGGGAGUAGAAAUUUAAAAACAGAAAGAUUAAGUAUUUACAAACUUACAAGUUGUGAAAGUAAUUAAGUCAAGUCACACUUUGGCAAAUGAGUUUCUUUUGGGGAUCCUAAGACCAUUUCCAACCGAAUGACAGCCAGAUGACUCGUUUUAGCCCUCUGGUCCUCCAAGAAAUUAAUAUUUUAAUGAACAGUGCAGAGCCAUAUUUCUUACCAUCUCUAACCGAGGGGCCAGAGGGCCAUAUGCCAAACAUAGCUCUGUGACAAAAAACCAUCUCCAACCGAGGGCCAAAGGGCUAUAGUAUGGAAUGUGAAUAAUUGAAAUAAAAUGAGGUAAGAUAGUAUGGAAUGGUGAAAAAUAUGUGAGAAAUGGUGUAGGAAAAAAUAGAAAUUAAAAAAAAAA
rnacentral:lncRNA from 1 species